GGGACCUGGGUUCUAAUCCCAGCUCCGUCACAUGUCUGCUGUGUGACCUUGGGCUAGUCGCUUCACUUCUCUGUGCCUCAGUUGCCUCAUCUGGAAAAUGGGGAUUAAGAGCACGAGCCCCACGUGGGACAGGGACCGUGUCCAGCCCGAUUCACUUGCAUCUACCGUGGUGCUUAGAACAGUGCUCGGCACAUAGUAAGCGCUUAACAAGUACCGUAAUUAUUAUGAAUGUCUGUCUCCCCCUCUAGACUGUAAACUUGCUGCGGGCAGGGACCGCGUCUGUUAUAUCGUCAUACCGAACUCUCCCAAGAGCGCUCGGGAAGCGAUCGAUAGAUAUGACCGACUGACUCUAAGUUGUCACCGAUCCAUUGAGAAAAGGAAUCUCAGCCACCGGUUGGAAUUCUGACGUCACGCAGGAGCAGAUCGCCGCUGGGAAUUCAGACCGGUUCCAGGUAUUGGUUUGUCUCUGCUUUCACCCCCUUGGAAUAUUCCGUCUCUAUUCCCAGGAGGCCCGAGGAAUGUAAUCUUAGAUGCAGACUCAUCUCCAUCAGCCCACCCAGCCCCUUUCAAAAUACGUUUGGAUGUCGUCUUUACUACGAGCUACUCGGUUCUCACUGAAAUCUACAUGGGAAGAGUGUCUGGCAAAACAAAACAAAAAAAUGAUCUUUCCUUGGUUCCCUUAAACAUGUUCCUUGGCGUUUCCUCGAGUUACGGCGUUGGAGAGUAUCUAGGUGCCGUGCAUCGUGGAUCUGUGGGAGAUGAGCCCUUUUGCAUUUUUAUAGGUAUUAAAGAAGAGUAAUGUAUCCUUCCUGUCCCUAUUUAAGGGAAAACAACUGAGCUCACGCCAUCCUCCACUGUUUCCACUUCAUCCAUUAAUAUUCAUACGAUUCAAGCGCUUAGUACAGUGCUCUGCACACAGUAAG
rnacentral:lncRNA from 1 species